rnacentral:rRNA from 1 species
GCUCUGAACAGAUUAGCAUGCAUGUCUAGUAUAGCCUCUUUCUACUGUGCACUGCGAGCGGCUCAUUAUAUCAUCAUAAUUUAUUUGAUGGUUCCUUACUACAUGGAUAACUGUAAUAAUUCUAGAGCUAAUACGUGCGUAAAGUCCCGAGUCUCGCGGGGAGGGAUGUUUUUUUUAGAUAAAAAACCCCUGCGGGCUCUGUCCGGUUUUGUGGAGAAUCAUAUUAACUUUUCGAAUCGCCUGGCUUCCCCCCGGCAAUAGUUCAUUUCCAGUUCUGCCCUAUCAGCUUUGACGGAACCGUACCGCACUACCGUGGACUGAACGGUAACGUAGAAUUAUGGUUCGAUACCGGAAAGGGACCUGAGACAACGCCACCACAUCAAGGAGGCGGCAGCGCGCAAAUACCCAUCCUGACAAGGGAGGAAGACAAAAUGCCUACUGCUUUUCCGUCGGCAUGGAUGAUACAUCCAUCCUCACGAGAUCAUGACGUAGUCUGUGCA